CAAGUCGAGCGAACGGACGAGAAGCUUGCUUCUCUGAUGUUAGCGGCGGACGGGUGAGUAACACGUGGAUAACCUACCUAUAAGACUGGGAUAACUUCGGGAAACCGGAGCUAAUACCGGAUAAUAUUUUGAACCGCAUGGUUCAAAAGUGAAAGACGGUCUUGCUGUCACUUAUAGAUGGAUCCGCGCUGCAUUAGCUAGUUGGUAAGGUAACGGCUUACCAAGGCAACGAUGCAUAGCCGACCUGAGAGGGUGAUCGGCCACACUGGAACUGAGACACGGUCCAGACUCCUACGGGAGGCAGCAGUAGGGAAUCCUCCGCAAUGGGCGAAAGCCUGACGGAGCAACGCCGCGUGAGUGAUGAAGGUCUUCGGAUCGUAAAACUCUGUUAUUAGGGAAGAACAUAUGUGUAAGUAACUGUGCACAUCUUGACGGUACCUAAUCAGAAAGCCACGGCUAACUACGUGCCAGCAGCCGCGGUAAUACGUAGGUGGCAAGCGUUAUCCGGAAUUAUUGGGCGUAAAGCGCGCGUAGGCGGUUUUUUAAGUCUGAUGUGAAAGCCCACGGCUCAACCGUGGAGGGUCAUUGGAAACUGGAAAACUUGAGUGCAGAAGAGGAAAGUGGAAUUCCAUGUGUAGCGGUGAAAUGCGCAGAGAUAUGGAGGAACACCAGUGGCGAAGGCGACUUUCUGGUCUGUAACUGACGCUGAUGUGCGAAAGCGUGGGGAUCAAACAGGAUU
rnacentral:rRNA from 1 species